UACGGGGGAGCAAGCGUUGUUCGGAUUUACUGGGCGUAAAGGGCGCGUAGGCGGCCAGCACAAUUCAGUUGUGAAAUCUCCGAGCUUAACUCGGAAAGGUCAACUGAUACUGUGCGGCUAGAGUGGCGGAAGGGGCAACUGGAAUUCUUGGUGUAGCGGUGAAAAUGCGUAGAUAUCAAGAGGAACACCUGCGGCGAAGGCGGGUGCUGGGCCGACACUGACGCUGAGGCGCGAAAGCUAGGGGAGCGAACGGG
rnacentral:rRNA from 1 species